UCACAGACUGGAGGGUGACAGUGACCAGAGCAAGUUUAACCUUUUAAAGAGGAAGGAUCUGUUGCUUGGCUACCAGGCCUGCGUAGGGUAAUGAGUGGAAAUGGGGAACAGAAGUGGAGAAAGAAGAGAGACCUAGAAGCGGGGUGGUGGGGAAAGGGCAGGAACCCCUCGUGGGCUGGAGCCUGCAGAGGGAGGGAGAAUGUGAGCAGCUUCCAGAAGGUGUGGGGCUUUGAGGAAAGGGGACGGAGAGCAUCUGAAGGAAGCUUGGGUGUGAUCGGGCCACGGUCUCCAGAAGACUCAGGAAGGCUACUCAGAGAAGGGUCCCCCCAAGGGAUGUGGGACGGUUGGCCUAACCCUGUGGCAGACGGCUCUGCUUCUCUUCAUGGCCUAUGGAUUUGGAAAGCUCCUGAGUGCAAUGAGGAGUACCUCAUCUAGCAGCCAAGACCUAUUCCCUGCCCCAGUGCCCCAGUACCCCAGAAACAGGCCAAGCCCCAGACUCUCCUGGCAUAAAUACCGGCUCCCGUCCAACCUCACGCCAUCAGCGCUCCUGGCGCACAGUAGGCCUCAAUGGAUGUUUGUGAAUGAAUGCUGUCUGCCAUUCAAGCCCAGAUUUGACCCAUUCCAGAGACGGAAACUGAGGAAUUUCCAGCAAAGCCGGAUAAGGCAGAGCGGGAAGAUGCACCGAGGCUGGAGCCUGGGAUCUUCUCCUGGGGAUAACUCUGUAAUCUCUUGAGCCAGCCUGAGAUUUUCCAUUCUCCACACCUUCACCUUGAGAGCAACAGGCCUUCUCAUAAAGAACCUGGGGUGCUCAGGAGGGAGACUCUAUGGAGGCAAAGAACCUUCAGCCUGGUGGAGGGCAGUAAUUACAUUUCUCUGCUAACAAGCUCAUCCCGGAACAGCCUCCUCUACAGACUGGUCUUCUGGGAAUAGAGACCUGGCUGUUUUCUGUUUCUGCUGUCAUAGCCAGUUGCUGGCUGAAAGUGCAGGAGGUCCAGGAAGCUGCUGGCACACAGGAG
ensembl:lncRNA